rnacentral:rRNA from 1 species
GACGAACGCUGGCGGCGUGCUUAACACAUGCAAGUCGAACGUAAAGGCCCUGCUUUUGUGGGGUGCUCGAGUGGCGAACGGGUGAGUAACACGUGAGUAACCUGCCCUUGACUUUGGGAUAACUUCAGGAAACUGGGGCUAAUACCGGAUAGGAGCUCCUGCUGCAUGGUGGGGGUUGGAAAGUUUCGGCGGUUGGGGAUGGACUCGCGGCUUACCAGCUUGUUGGUGGGGUAGUGGCUUACCAAGGCUUUGACGGGUAGCCGGCCUGAGAGGGUGACCGGCCACAUUGGGACUGAGAUACGGCCCAGACUCCUACGGGAGGCAGCAGUGGGGAAUAUUGCACAAUGGGUGGAAGCCUGAUGCAGCAACGCCGCGUGCGGGAUGACGGCCUUCGGGUUGUAAACCGCUUUCGCCUGUGACGAAGCGUGAGUGACGGUAAUGGGUAAAGAAGCACCGGCUAACUACGU